AAAUCCGCUAAGGAGUGUGUA
rnacentral:snRNA from 1 species